rnacentral:rRNA from 1 species
CACCGAAGGCUCGAGUGGUAUCCACGAAUAUUGGGCCUAAAGAGUCCGUAGCUGGCUUGUUAAGUUCUCUGUGAAAUCUUCCGGCUUAACCGGAAGGCGUGCAGGGGGUACUGACAGGCAUGGGAGUGGGGGAAGUCAGGAGUACUCACGGGGUAGAGGUAAAAUUCUGUAAUCCUGUGAGGACUACCAGUGGCGAAGGCGCCUGACUAAAACAUGUCCGACGGUGAGGGACGAAGGCUAGGAGA